AUGCACGCUGGCGGCGUGCCUCAUCCCUGCAAGUCGCGCGAACAGACGAGGAGCUUGCUCCUCUGACGUUAGCGGCGGACGGGUGAGUAACACGUGGAUAACCUACCUAUAAGACUGGGAUAACUUCGGGAAACCGGAGCUAAUACCGGAUAAUAUAUUGAACCGCAUGGUUCAAUAGUGAAAGACGGUUUUGCUGUCACUUAUAGAUGGAUCCGCGCCGCAUUAGCUAGUUGGUAAGGUAACGGCUUACCAAGGCAACGAUGCGUAGCCGACCUGAGAGGGUGAUCGGCCACACUGGAACUGAGACACGGUCCAGACUCCUACGGGAGGCAGCAGUAGGGAAUCUUCCGCAUUGGGCGAAAGCCUGACGGAGCAACGCCGCGUGAGUGAUGAAGGUCUUCGGAUCGUAAAACUCUGUUAUUAGGGAAGAACAAAUGUGUAAGUAACUAUGCACGUCUUGACGGUACCUAAUCAGAAAGCCACGGCUAACUACGUG
rnacentral:rRNA from 1 species